rnacentral:lncRNA from 1 species
UUUUCUUUCUUUCUUAAGCUGAAAUAUUCUUUAUCAACAACGCUAGAUAUGAUACUGACUGUUCCUAGAGCAAAUGGCAAAGGGCUUGAUAGUUGGUACCCGAUACCCAAGUUCGAAUCCAAGUUGAUUCAUAUUUCUAGCUAAGUUUAUUUCCAAAUGAAAUAAACGAAGCGGGUAGCGUGCUGCUAUCUAUCUUUCAAAAAAA